GGGGGCGAAUUGGUUUCGACCGGGUUAGGGAAGUGUAGGUUGCGUGUCGUGGUUGGUCAGCAGUCCACGUUAAUAGCCGACUAUCAAUUCAAUUGCCGAACCUAAGUUCGCAAUGGCCGCCUAAGAAAAGGCGACCCCGGGUUCAAGCUGUCGUCGGAAUGGCGUGACACCCGGCCGUAAAUCCGAAUCGUUCCCGAUCAUGUCGACCACGUCGGGGAUUAAAAAACGUUGUCGAAUCGUCCGAACGAAACCGCCGUCGAUAAGGGUUCGCAAGGAUUAAAUUCAAAUAAUCGAAUACACACGUAGACGCUUGCAUGGAUCUGCUUCGGGACGCGGGUUCGAUCCCCGCCGCCUCCAUUU
rnacentral:tmRNA from 1 species